CUUGUCUACUAGAGGAUGAUGCUUCGAAGCUGGUAAUGAACCCCGGCUCUGAGGUGGACAUGUGCUAUGCAUGUUUGACAAGU
rnacentral:tRNA from 1 species